rnacentral:rRNA from 1 species
AUUAAAAACCAAUGCCCUUCGGGGCUCUCUGGUGAUACAUAAUAACUUCUCGAAUCGCACGGCCUUGCGCCGGCGAUGGUUCAUUCAAAUUUCUGCCCUAUCAACUUUCGACGGCUGGGUCUUGGCCAGCCGUGGUGACAACGGGUAACGGAGGGUUAGGGCUCGACCCCGGAGAAGGAGCCUGAGAAACGGCUACUACAUCCAAGGAAGGCAGCAGGCGCGCAAAUUACCCAAUCCCGACACGGGGAGGUAGUGACAAUAAAUACUGAUACAGGGCUCUUUCGGGUCUUGUAAUUGGAAUGAGUACAAUUUAAAUCCCUUAACGAGGAACAAUUGGAGGGCAAGUCUGGUGCCAGCAGCCGCGGUAAUUCCAGCUCCUAUAGCGUAUAUUAAAGUUGUUGAGGUUAAAAAGCUCGUAGUUGAACCUUGGGCCUAGCCGGCCGGUCCGCCUCACCGCGUGCACUGGCUCGGCUGGGUCUUUCCUUCUGGAGAACCGCAUGCCCUUCACUGGGUGUGCC